rnacentral:rRNA from 1 species
GUAGGGAAUAUUGCGCAAUGGACGAAAGUCUGACGCAGCGACGCCGCGUGAGUGAUGAAGGCCUUAGGGUCGUAAAGCUCUGUUGAAUGGGAAGAAAAAAAUGACGGUACCAUUCGAGGAAGGACCGGCUAACUUCGUGCCAGCAGCCGCGGUAAUACGAGGGGUCCUAGCGUUGUUCGGAAUCAUUGGGCGUAAAGGGUGUGUAGGUGGCCAUGUAAGUCAGGUGUGAAAGCACCGGGCUCAACCCGGGAAGUGCACUUGAUACUGCGUGGCUUGAGUACCGAAGAGGGUAGUGGAAUUCCAGGUGUAGUGGUGAAAUACGUAGAUAUCUGGAGGAACACCGGUGGCGAAGGCGGCUACCUGGUCGAGUACUGACACUGAGACACGAAAGCAUGGGGAUCAAACAGGAUUAGAUACUCUAGUAGUCC